rnacentral:snoRNA from 1 species
ACGCCCUGUGCCUCGCUCGAUUAAACGCAUUGUCACGUUUGAUCUUGAGCUGGAUAGUUAUGCUCGUUGUUGGCUUCUGCGAACAAAGAGAAAUAGCAUUAAACUAAUGGGCUAUAUCCAAGAGACUUCUUUUGAGUACGAAAAGGCCUUAUCUACUCAAUGACCUUUGAUCGUAAUUAGAAGCGCUUACAUCU